GGGGGAUAUUGCACAAUGGAGGAAACUCUGAUGCAGCAACGCCGCGUGAGGGAAGAAGGUUUUCGGAUUGUAAACCUCUGUCCUCGGUGACGAAACAAAUGACGGUAGCCGAGGAGGAAGCUCCGGCUAACUACGUGCCAGCAGCCGCGGUAAUACGUAGGGAGCAAGCGUUGUCCGGAUUUACUGGGUGUAAAGGGUGCGUAGGCGGCUCUGCAAGUCAGGCGUGAAAACUAUGGGCUUAACUCAUAGACUGCGUUUGAAACUGUGGGGCUUGAGUGAAGUAGAGGUAGGCGGAAUUCCCGGUGUAGCGGUGAAAUGCGUAGAGAUCGGGAGGAACACCAGUGGCGAAGGCGGCCUACUGGGCUUUAACUGACGCUGAAGCACGAAAGCAUGGGUAGCAAAC
rnacentral:rRNA from 1 species